UCCAGCUUAACGCUGGCAGUCCCCUUAGAGUGCCCAACUUAAUGCUGGCAACAAAGGGCGUGGGUUGCGCUCGUUGCGGGACUUAACCCAACAUCUCACGACACGAGCUGACGACAGCCAUGCAGCACCUGUACAUCGGUCCCCUUGCGGGGAAAGGCCGCUUUCACGGACCGGUCCAAUGUAUGUCAAGACCAGGAUAAGGUUCUUCGCGUUGCGUCGAAUUGAACCACAUGCUCCACUGCUUGUGCGGGUCCCCGUCAAUUUCUUUGAGUUUUAAUCUUGCGACCGUACUCCCCAGGCGGGAUGCUUAACGCGUUAGCUCCGCUACUGAAAGGGUUAACACUUCCAACAGCAAGCAUCCAUCGUUUACGGCGUGGACUAC
rnacentral:misc_RNA from 1 species